rnacentral:rRNA from 1 species
UGAGUAACGCGUGAGGGAACCUGCCUUGGAGAGGGGAAUAACACAGAGAAAUUUGUGCUAAUACCGCAUGACGCAGUUGGGUCGCAUGGCUCUGACUGCCAAAGAUUUAUCGCUCUGAGAUGGCCUCGCGUCUGAUUAGCUAGUUGCGGGGUAACGGCCCACCAAGGCGACGAUCAGUAGCCGGACUGAGAGGUUGGCCGGCCACAUUGGGACUGAGACACGGCCCAGACUCCUACGGGAGGCAGCAGUGGGGAAUAUUGGGCAAUGGGCGCAAGCCUGACCCAGCAACGCCGCGUGAAGGAAGAAGGCUUUCGGGUUGUAAACUUCUUUUAUGUGGGACGAAACAAAUGACGGUACCACAUGAAUAAGCUCCGGCUAACUACGUGCC